rnacentral:pre_miRNA from 1 species
AUAAUACUCUCUCCAUCCGGAAUUACUUGUCAUCAAAAUGGAUGUGUCUAGAACUAAAAUACAUCUAGAUACAUCCAUUUCAAUGACAAGUAUUUUCGGACGGAGGGAGUAGUAG